rnacentral:lncRNA from 1 species
UAGGGGUUCCUGUUUUUGGGUGCACCAGAGCAAACCAUGGAGGGAUCAUGUGGGCUCGUGCGAUAUGAGUAACAUAUCGUGCCUGUCCAAGUGCCCCAACCAGAAGAACAGUGGUCAUCCCCUUCAGGGCACCCAGAGCUACCAGGUACUUGGCCCACUUCAUACCCACACUUUGAAAUGCAAGAGAGUAAGCUGCUUGUCUGUCAAUGUCCCUGUAGUCCUGCAUCAUACUGAGCGCAAGCGCCAUUAAGCAAUAUAUGACAGUGAUGAUUGACAUUGAUCCGAGCAAUCCUAAUGGUAUAUCUCUUGAUGGGUUUUUUGUUUCUUCAGCCAUGGUGGCGAUAUUGUCAAAUCCUCCAUAAGCAAAGUAUACAAUUGCAGCUGCUUGGAAGAUCCCUUUAGCCCCGUAAGGCAAAAAGGGUGUCAAAUUUGAAGGGUCAGCAUUAGCAAACCCUGCAAUGAUAACAAACAAAAUCACUACAGUAUUUAUAGCAGAUGCGAUCCAAUUGAAGACUGAAGUCUUCCUGGUGCUGAUCAUAGCAAGCGUUGCAGCAAUAGCCAGAACUGCAACAGCAAUUGGGUCCAGCAGGUUGUAUCCCUUUGUGAGAUUUGUGUGGAUUCUCAAUGAGUUGGUGGGACGGUUCAGAAGGGUUGUGAAGUAAGAAGUCCAAGCCCUGGCAACUCCUGCACUUCCAACAAUACUUUCAAGAAGUAUAUUACCAGCUGUUAUGAAUGCUGCAAAGUCUCCCAAUUCUAUUCUCAGGUACGCGAAUGAGCCACCAGCUACUGGGAUUUCUACUGCAAAUUCCGUGUAGCAGAAAACAGAGAGCAGUGCUGAAACACCUGAAGCCACAUAGGACAGGACUAUGGCUGGUCCAGCAUGGUCAUGAGCUUCUUGGCCAGUAAGCACAAAGAUACCAGCUCCAAUGACUGAGCCAAACCCGAACCAGGUAAGAUCCCACCACGUUAGGCAACGUUUCAUGUCAUUCUCACUUUGUUUACGCAUCUCCCCAAUCUCAAUGGCAUCUUCAGAUCUGCUUGUGAGGCGGUCCUUGAACCGAAAACAUGUUUGGGAAAGCGCUGAGCGGUAGCUGGCCCAGUUUUUGAAUGACUCCUCUGGUAAGAAAUCUUGUUUGCUCCAUCUCCAAUAGCCUCUUGGUUGGAUCUCAUCACCCACUUCUCCCAUUGAACCCAUCACUGCUUCUCUAAUGGGUAAUGAAGACAAGUGAUGAAUGCAAG